rnacentral:lncRNA from 1 species
UCAUUGUUUCAGUGUGGGAGUGAUUAUAGUGUAUAAAGGUGAUCCAGUUGUCUGUUUCAGCCCCAUUUGGUCACUACGUUUCCAGCAUGCUCUGUACCUGGCCUUUCAGUUUACUUCUCCUGGGUUCGGUUUUGGGAUCACCCCUCUUCCAUAAUCGCACAAAAAAUAGUACAAGUGAUCAUGUUGUACCUCCUCAUGCCAUUAACCCACAGGACAACUCAUCCAACUCAGUUGUUGGCUGUGAGGGCCCCUCCUGUGGUUCCUCCCACAACUAUACUGUUCUAGAUACUGCAGAGUAAGUAUACUGUGCACUGCCAUAUGCAGAAUGCAUUGUCGUGUGUUAUUCCUGUGUGUUUGUACAGAUAAUUUUAUAUAUUUAUUAAAUUCCUCCAUGCUAUAGUUGAUCAGAUUACUAACAGGAGUCUGUGUACAGAUGCAGCUGGAACAAAAACAUGCAGAGAACAAGACAGUAAUGUCAACAGACCUCGAUUUAGACCUUGACCGUGAUUAUCAUGCUAUCAGGCUUCACCUUGAACAUCAUGUCAUCUGAGAAAGAAAGUACUAGCUGUGAUAUUUUAACACAGCACACAGAGGGUCCUAUUGAAGGCCACUGGUGUC